ensembl:lncRNA novel transcript
UGAGUGGCAUCUCACAGAAAGCCAGAGGGGAGGACGUGGGGCUAUCAGUCCAACUCCUCAGUUAAUAGCCAGGGAAACAGAAGCCCAGGGAGAUAAAGACGGUGGCAGAGGAGGAAUUCUUUCUUAGCAGAUCUUCCAUUCCUAAUCCAGGAUCAUUUCCAGGGCUCCCAGGUUCUCAAGAUGCUUGAAUCCUGGGACAAACACAGAGGAAGGAGCUCCUAAGGAUGGGGGCAGUGGUGAGGAAACAGGCCACUGAGACAGUGAUGGUGUUUGUAGGCAAAGAAGCUACUUGUAUUUGCCAACCACACCAGGAGGCCAGGAGAAAUCUUUUGCCACAUUUGGAGAAAGGAUUGAAGAGAAAUGAGAGCCUGGAUGUGAAGAAAACAUUAGGAAGCUGCAGCAGUAACCUAUGUGAGAAAUUAAGAGAACCUAAAUCAGAUCCGUUGGCCAUCAAGAUUUCACUCAUUUUGAGACCUAGAGAUUGGUGCUCCUGGAGCUGUGAAAUGCGUGGCCUCUGUAGCCCUGUGAAGGUCUUGUUUCUAUGGCGAUACAAGAGAAAGUCUUUGCAGAGUUGUUGCAGCUGGAAGUCUUCACUUACUUUAAGAGCUCAUUAAAGCUAGUGGAGCCUUCCAAACCUGAAAUGAACUGCUCCUUACAGAACUGCCAAAAGGAAGAAAUAGAAAAGAAAAAAGAAGCAAUAGGUCCAAAUCAAGAGAAGCUAUGCUGUACCCUCAACACUCUGCCUAGAGAUUUCUUCCAUGAAAUAUCCUAGUUCACAUCUGCCUCCUGCAAACUACUAGGACAUGGACACUGCUCAGCCAAGUUCUGUGCCAAUUUGUAACAAGAAUGGCCUUUCCUCCUAUUUCCAAUAAGGCCCCAUCAGCAGAGGGAGGAGAAGAGGAGAAGCAGCUGGACAUCAGAGACUAUGGUUGGACAUUGGAGAGAAGCAGCUUGACUUCAAAGGGACGGCUUGAUGGCAUUGCUUCGGAGAGGAGUUCAGCCAGGGACAGCUGGACUCUAGGGGAAUAUUAUCUUCCCACACCAUCCACUUUUCAGCUCCCCUUCCCACUGAGAACCACUUUCAUUGGCAAUAAAAUCCCCCACAUUUACCAUC